rnacentral:misc_RNA from 1 species
AGCUCCUAAAAAUCCUCAUCCAUCUUAAACACAUGGGUUCCCCCAUUUCCAUUAAGGCUAGACAUAACGGCCGCCUUCUGAUACUCUCCAACUCUCUUCUCAAAGAAAUUCGUCUUCCCUUGCAGCGAGAUCAGCUCCAUCCAAUCAAAAGGAUUAGCCACAUUGUAGAUCUUUCCGCACCCAAGCGCACCCAACAACCUAUCAGCCACGAACUCAAUGUACUGGCUCAUCAGCUCUCCAUUCAUCCCCACCAAGGCACAUGGAAGCGCAUCGCACACAAACUCCCUCUCGAUAUCCACUGCGUCUCGCACUAUCCCCUUCACACGCUCCUCGCUCAACUUAUUCCGUAACAGCCCGUAUAGCAAACACGCGAAGUCACAGUGCAAGCCCUCAUCUCGCGAGAUCAACUCGUUUGAGAAUGUUAAUCCCGGCAUCAAGCCACGCU